CUGGUUACCCGCUUCCCCUUACAAGUUACAACCUACCAACUGUUUGAAAAAACUUGUCAACCAAACACGUCGCACAAACUAUCAUCGUACAAGUAUCAGAUACAAACCAAAUAAAUCAAGUGUUAGUGUUCUGUCACCGAAUCUAACUUGUCUCCUAAACUCAUUCUUUAUUUCUUCACCCUCCCAAAUUUCAGGAAUCUUCAAUUACUUCUUCAACAAUGACAAAGAAAUUUCUCACCAAACCUCUUUCAACCUUCUUCAACUUCACACGAACACGAACCUUAACCUCGAUUCCUCAACGUCUAUUACCUCACCUUAAACCUCAAUCUCCAUCACCACCCUUUACACCGUAUCAUACUCAUCAUCUAUAUCAUAAUUACGAUUAUUCUUCACCUGGGUCUCUAAGAUUUUGCAGAAAAAGUUUAUGUUCAAAACCUGAGCAGAAUUUUCAACCAACAUGCUGGAAUUGUCAUGCUGUUCCUCAAUCAACACCUUUCUUGUUCUGCCAGUCGUGUCGCUGUAUUCAACCUGUUGAUCGUUCAAAUGACUAUUUUGAUAUUUUUGGAUUGGAGAGGAAGUAUGACGUAGGGGGUAUCGAUUUGGAGGGGAAAUACAAGGAGUGGCAAAAGAAACUACAUCCUGAUUUGGUGCAUUCAAAAUCUCAGGAAGAAAGAGAUUAUGCUGCUGAACAAUCUGCAAGGGUGAUUGAUGCAUAUCGUACACUUAGCAAACCUUUGUCAAGAGCAAUUUACAUGCUGAAACUCGAUGGAGUGGAAGUUGACGAGGAGCAGACAAUUUCAGAUCCUGAAUUACUAGCAGAGAUUAUGGAAAUCAGGGAAGCUGUUGAAGAAGCAACUAACUCCGAGGCUUUGAAUCACAUUCGCUCUGAGAUGCAGGAGAAAAUGCAAAGUUGGUCUAAUGCCUUCGCUGAUGCUUUUCAAAGGCGGGACUUUGAAGAAGCAAAGAAUGCAAUUAGGAGAAUGAUUUAUUAUACCCGUGUAAUUGAGGAAGUUGUAAAGAAGCUUUGAUACAGGAUAUUGUUACUGUUGUGCUUGUUCUGGCUUUUAGAAUCAAGGCUUUCAGAAUAAAAUGUUUCCAACAUGGAGCUAUGCCUUCGGGGGCAAAUGGUAGAUCAGUGCUGAGUAUGAACUACGAAGAAUUUGAUCCAUUGAGUCCAAUGAAGUGGCCUUUGAGUAAAUAACCAUUUGAUUACAUCAUUUGUAUCAAUGGACGUUAUUGCUUUGCUAUGCACGUGUCUGUGUCGAAGUUUACAUGUUUUCACACACCAUGAGCUACAUCCCUAGCAUGAGCACUCAUUCAGGUCCGCUGCAUGCAGCAAAGCAACACUCAUGUAUUCAAUAAAGUUAUAU